AGAGUUUGAUCCUGGCUCAGAACGAACGCUGGCGGCAGGCCUAACACAUGCAAGUCGAGCGCCCGCAAGGGAGCGGCAGACGGGUGAGUAACGCGUGGGAACGUGCCCUUUGGUUCGGAAUAUUCCCGGGAAACUGGGAGCAAAACCGGAUAAGCCCUUCGGGGGAAAGUUUACGCCAAAGGAUCGGCCCGCGUUAGAUUAGGUAGUUGGUGGGGUAACGGCCUACCAAGCCUACGAUCUAUAGCUGAUCUGAGAGGAUGGUCAGCCACACUGGGACUGAGACACGGCCCAGACUCCCACGGGAGGCAGCAGUGGGGAAUCUUGGACAAUGGGCGCAAGCCUGAUCCAGCCAUGCCGCGUGGAUGACUGAAGGCCCUAGGGUUGUAAAGUCCUUUCGACGGGGACGAUAAUGACGGUACCCGUAGAAGAAGCCCCGGCUAACUUCGUGCCAGCAGCCGCGGUAAUGCGAAGGGGGCUAGCGUUGUUCGGAUUUACUGGGCGUAAAGGGCGCGUAGGCGGAUUUUUAAGUCGGGGGUGAAAUCCCGGAGCUCAACUCCGGAACUGCCUUCGAUACUGGAAGUCUGGAGCACGGUAGAGGUGAGUGGAAUUCCGAGUGUAGAGGUGAAAUUCGUAGAUAUUCGGAGGAACACCAGUGGCGAAGGCGGCUCACUGGACCGUUGCUGACGCUGAGGCGCGAAAGCGUGGGGAGCAAACAGGAUUAGAUACCCUGGUAGUCC
rnacentral:rRNA from 1 species